rnacentral:lncRNA from 1 species
GGGCAGAACGCGCAGGGGCGUCAAGGCAACGGGGGGUCGCGAGAACCAAAUUUUCUCCUUUUUUCGCCCCAAAGUAACAGGCGAAAUCCCCUCAUGAGGGCUUCUCCUAUGCUGGGAACAACCCCCGACGAAACUUUGAAAUAUUAAGAGUGGCGAUACGCUCACUUUCAAUCAGGGCGCUCGCUUGUCAAGUGUCCACCACCUUCAUGCAGUGUUGCUUUGUAGGUUUCAAAAAGCUCAUUCAUUUGCAAAUGCCCCCCACCCCACCCUGCGAGUAGAUCAUCUUUAUUCUGGCAAAAUACAGAACAUUUCGCGGUUUUAUAUUCUGAUUUUGUUCCGUGGACCGCCCUGAUACCUCCGGGUAUAGGGCGGUAUAUAAAUUCAAUCAGUCAGGAUGGGGUGGUUGGUGGACGAUAUUCUUUAAUAAUUAAAAAAAAUCUGGUCCUGAAGUGACUUCCAAGCAAUCCAUUACAAUCUGUUGCAGCCUAACAGGAUGGCCCCUAACUUGGCAGAGAGAGAAAAAUACCUGAAAUACAGAACAAAACUCUUAUCAACGGGGGAGAGGCACAAAAGAUCCACAAAAAACUGUACUGAAAAGCAUUGAAAGUACUCAAUUAAUUGAGGUUCUGCUCUCCCCACACCCAGCAGAUGCCUGUCCCCAGCAAAAGAUUGCUGCCUUUCAAUGUCCUCUUUUUGGGGGCAAUUUUUUUUUUUAAAAGCUCAAGAACUUUGGUGGGCGAUCUUCGGAGGAACAGCUCUGUCUCCCCCUAACAAAAAUCUUGUCUACGCCCAUGAUACAGGAUGUAGCUUUUUACAUGGAAAUACAGGACAAUCCUGUAUUAUACCGGACAGGUGGCAACCCUGCCAUAUUUACUCGGGUCUAAUGAGCCAUUGAAUCUAAUGCGCACUUCAAUUUUCAGAACCUUGAAACCCAAAAAAGUAUUUGCUGGCAAAUGUAAAUGUGACAUCGAAUCUAAUGUGCACCUUAAUUUUCGUGGUGUAAUUUGGCCAAAAAGGUGAGCAUCAGAUUCAAGUAAAUACAGUGUUUGCAUUUAUUUGACCAGAGCUUCCCUGGAGCAGAGCAAACUGGUGAACCCCAGUCCAAAUUCAGUGUGCUGCUCUAUGCUGGCUCCUUUGGUCUGAAUAGUUCAGCAACUGCUGUUGCUGUUCCCCUUCACUUACUGGAGAUGUUACUGGGUCUAAACAAAUGUGUGCUGCACUGCACUAGAUAGAUGGGUAGCCUUCAGUAAAACUGACGACGACUAUAAUGCCUCCAAAGCCUCACUUUUACCACCUUUUGCCCUGCUGGCCUUCCCCAAUCUAUUCCUCUUUGUGGCACCACAUAGGAGGUUUCAAAUGGAGGGGUUUGGAGCAGGGAUGUUGACUCAACAGGUUUUGCAAGUUGGACAGGACUGUGACUUUCCCCAGUGCUAAGCUCUAAGGCAGAUCCAAAGAGGAUUAGUUUCGAUAGCCAACAUUAAACGCCGCUGUAACUAUUUUCCAUAACUCCUUUUCCGAUACUACUCCUUCCACCUUCCUGCUGAGUGCUGAAGCAGAGAACUUGACUCUGCAGUGGGAAGUUCAGUUUUGAAAAGGGCUUUUACUUUCCUUUAAGUCCUCUAGAUAUUUACUUAGAAGUGAGUUUGAGGAGAUUUGCUGCUCCCAAGCAAGUGGGCAUCGGUUCACAGCCUUGGUAUCUGUGCUUGUACAAACUCUUCUCUUGCCCUACAAAAAAGAGAGAGGAAAAAUAGACUCUCAUUUUCGGUGUCUCUUUUCCUGCAUUUAGCUUGCAGGCAAGCCUCUCUCCUUUCAUGUUUAUCUUCCUAAACUGGACUGUAGUCAUUCUGAUAAAAUUCUAGUGCCACCUAUGUAUUCUUUACAGUGCCUGUGAUAGCGUUGGUUUUAAACAGCUCUUGAAACAGAUUUUAUAUACAUUCUACUUUAUAAGGGCCAUAUCAGCACCUCCUACAAUUCUGAAAAUCACAACCAGUUUAGGGCUCUUCACAUGUGCCUUUUUGUGAGACAUGCUAUGCUUCUCAGCAUGGGCAUGUAGAAAGCUCUACCUACCAAAGGGAAAAAGUGACUGUCUUAAUUCUUGGGCAGAAACAUUUCCUAGUCUUUCAGAUUAACCUAGAAAAAUGACUGCCCACAUACUUCAUGCUAACUAUUUGUGACAUAAGAGAAACAACAUUUGAAAUGCUUUCAUGUCUGCUUACCUGGAUGCAGUUCUUAUCAUAGGCAGUCAGGUAAACGGAUAUUUGCCAGUUUUCCUUGCCUGAGAAGCCAAGGGCCUUGUGCAUGCAAAGAUUUAGCUCCAUCACUGAACUACCAAACUUUCUUAUAUUAACUCUGAAUGUCCAUCUCUCUCCACCCCCGUUGUUGGAGUUUGGUUAAUUUGUAUUUAGAGCGGCUUCUCUAAGCCACUUUAUUGAUAAUGAACAAGUAUAACUCUUCCUGUUGAAGGAGAGAGUGAAGAGGGUACAGAUCAUCAAGGCAGCAAUCCUCAAACCACUUACUCCAGGGCACACUGGCUGAGGUCAAUGGAAUGGGACUCCUCCAAAGUGCAGCUGGAGGUAUUAGCACUGAUUAUGUUGAUAUUGAAGGAAUAUAGGGUCAGGCCUCCUAGGCUGUUUUUUUUCCUCAGAAAUUUCAGAGAGCACUUUAGACUCAGUCCUAUGCUCACACACUUAACACUUUACCAGCUCUUCAUGUGGUAUACUACUUAGGACAAAAUUUGAUCCUUUGAUUGGAAAAGUAAAAAAGAAAAAGUUAGCCGUGUCCCUCUCAUCAAAGCAGUGGCCAUUGAUUCUUAAGUACUCCUUGUUGAAAUCAAUGGGGAGUUCAAGCUUAAAAAUUAAUGCUACUGUAACUCAGUGUUAUUAAUACCCCAUAAAAUUUUAAAAGAGGAAUAUGUUUUACGUCUGGCUGGCAGUUAACAGCGCAUUGUGCCAUUUAAAAAGGCAAUACCAUCGUUCUUUAAAACAAACAACUGAGCCGACUUGAAGAGAGCGAGGACCCAGUUAAAGGAAUUAAAUAUCCAGUUGCGUAAAAUUCUAAUAGAAAAAUGAAAUAUUAAUUCCAUGCAAAGGACAGUUGUUGAAGCCCAUACUUAACCAAAGCCAGAAGCAAACAGCCCCUGAAGAAGAAAUAUUGGUAAGGGGGAUGUAGGUAUAUUCAGUGCUAUGUUUCUAUAUCACAGGCAACAGGAUCCUAUAUCUAAUGAUCUGCUCAGAGUGACAUAUCAUAAAUGCAAUAAAAUGCAUAAACCUGGGAGAACAGUUUGAGAAGUUUCUUAGACGGUUCAGCUCAUAGCCUGUGGGCCAAAUUACAAGGAAUGGUGAUAGAUCAUAGAUAGAUCUGCCUUAGGCAGAGUCAAACUAUUGAUUCAUCUAGAUCAGCGUUGUCUACUCUGACUGGUAGCAGCUCUACAGGGUUUCAGACCUACUUGUAAAUGCUGGGGACUGAAGCUGGGACUUUGUGAAUGCAAGAGAGAUGCCCAACCACUUCGCUACUAUCCUUUCCAAAGGAUCUUCCUAUGCUUUAAAUACUAAUCUACCUCACCUAUGUGCAAAGCAGAGAUGGAGGAGAAAUUGAGGGCAUAACAUGAGGUGUUUAACCUGUCUCUCCUGCACACAUACCCCAUGCUUAGGGUUGCCAAAUUUUUAAUUGGUUCCUUGCCACUUUAACAUCAGUUUUAGCUAUAGCAUUUAGCAGAUGCCAUGAAAAACAUCACCCAGCUUAUUUCAGUGUAUCAAACCUCUAUUAAAAGGACAGGACAGGCUGGUUUGUGUCUUAUCUUUCCUUGGUUAGUUGGCAACCCUGUCCCAACACUUACUUACCUGUUGUAUUGGAGCUAGGGUGACCAGAUGCAAAAGCUGAUGAGGCUCUGGCACCUUUAAUACUUGUGUAGAAUACAGAAUUUGCAGGUACAGCUAAUGAAAUUCUCUCUAUGGAACAACUCCUCAAGGUAUAGGAGCCCUGUCCUCUUUUGCAUCUGGCCACCUUCAGGAGCCCAGCUAGGAGAAAACUGACCUUGGAGGAGCUAGUUUGCAGGACAGACAGACAGGAUAAGGGCUGGUGCCGAUACACCCUUUAAAUCCCACCCCCGCACACACUUUGGACACAAUUGGGGCAGACCUGCAUUUAAAGACCUGGGGUUGCUGCCAUCACAUACAUUUAUAAAGUUUUACAUUUUGUACUGUGUUUGCAUUUUAUAUUGUUUUUUUAUAUUCCGUUUUGAUUGUAAGCUACUUUGGGUGGGCAUUUGUUCAGAAAAUCAGCCUUAAAUUAUUUUCAGUAAAGUAAAUGUUUUCCUUUUACAUAAACACACUGGGAAUAUUUAUGCGAGGACAGUAUACAAAUAUUAUUAUUAUUAUACAAUGCUUCCAGUUCCAGAUCACUGCCGAAGAGAGAGAAAGUUUUAAAAAGUAGCUUCACAGGCUGAAGGACAAGAUGGCAACUUCCCAUUCCAUGUACUGACUGGUAGGGCAGCAUUCUCCCUCAUACCAAAGGGAAUUACCAUAGCUUGGGGAGGAGUACAGGAAUGGCUUUGUGACACACAAACCUUCAGUGUCACUCCCUUCCUCCUGCCCACUCCAUUGUUUGCCACCUGAGGAAGCUGCCACACUCUGCCUAAUGGUAGGUAAUUAUUUAUUUUAGUAAGGGUUUGGUGCUCCCACAUUAUAUUAUUUAGUAAGGUAAUCUACAUAUCACUUACACUUCAAAGAAGCCUCUAAGCCAUUUUGAACACUGUAAAACUAUCACCAACCAAACAGUAGAAGACGGGGGUGAUGGCACCUACCUGACCUCCUGACAGGUGAGUCUCUGCUUCUUAUUGGGGAGGGAGGGGAGAUAGCACUUUGCACCAUCCCUUCCUCCUCAUGAUUUCCAAGAUAUCAGGUAAGCACCUCUGCCUCCUCUAAAGUUCCCCACUCACCCCUCCUUAUUAAAAAAAAUGUUUUUUCUUGAACUUUUUCCACACAGCUUUUCCAAAUGUUAACAUAGGCUUAGUAAGCCAACCUUGGGUGACAUCGUCGGCACCUCAUUGUCCUAUUGCUAAAGCAAAGGGUUGCGGGUGGUGCUGUGGUCUAAACCACUGAGCCUCUUGGGCUUGCCAAUCGGGAGGUCGGCAGUUCGAAUCCACAUUGCUCUGUCCCAGAUUCUGCCCACCUAGCAGUUCGAAACCACACCAGCGCAAUUAGAUAAAUAGGUACCGCUGUGGUAGGAAGGUAAAUGUGCACUCUGGUUUCCACCAUGAUGUCCCAUUGCACCAGAAGCAAUUGAGUCAUGCUGGCCACAUGACCUGGAAAAUUGACAAACACUGGCUCCUUCGGCCUGAAACAAAAUGAGCGCUGCAACCCCAUAGUCGCCUUUGACUGGACUUCUCCGUCCAGGGGUCCUUUACCUUUAGUACAAGUAUAAAAUAUAUCCAGCUCCACUAAAGUCUCUGUAGAGCCAAGUGAUGACCUGACAUGCAGAACUGCAGCCCCCACUUCUAGUUUAGCUCUCAGUGUUCGAACGAGGAUGGGGAGUGUCCAAGAUCCUUUUUGCCUGUGGGCUUAACUUGGCCAGGAAAAAACACCUGAGAGAGGUACCUUGUAAGCUGCAUCUGUGGAAUGAGGGGCUGUGCUGAGGGUCCAAUGGGAAGCCCCCAUGGCUCUUAACUGAGCCCCUGGCCUAUCCUUAAUAUAGAAAAAACAAGGUCUUGCUUUGACAGGCAAGAAGUACUUUCACAUGCCAAUAAAUCAAAGCAGCACUGUGCUGCUUUUCUCUGAGCCACUUUUGUGACAAUUGAAAACAGUUGGCCCUUUGCUCAAGACAGGGAAAUUGCAUUAUCUGCAUGCAAGUGAUCACAGCAGAGUUUUGGUUUGGUUUCUAUUGUUGGGGGAGGGGUUGGAGCAAUGCACACGGCCAAGCCCGCAAUUGCCCUGGCAUGAUCAAAGAACAACUGUUUUCCCAUGUCCUACAAUUGACCAAAACAGCCCCACUGACAAGAGUAAAGGGACACGUGAAAGUAAUCAGUGAUCACAGUGCAUUGGCAAGUACCUAAGGCAGUAAAGUACCCUGAAACUUGCAAAGUUAAUGUGUUAACAUAUGUUAGCAGGAAGAUUUUAGCCAGAGAUACCUCUUUACAGAUGAUGAUGGUGAUGAUGCAAAGACUAACAUUAUCCCUUUUGAAAAUGCGAGAAAAUGAAUGAUUAUAAUUCAGUUUAAUAAAUAUAUAUAGAUACAGUAUAUAGGUGUACUUGAACCACAGCGCCACCUUUGGGUGUCCUUUAUUUCUGCAAUUGUGGCCUCAGCAGGACCAAAAGAGUAGCUCAAUGCAAUAUAAUAUUUUGGGGGAUAUAUGAUAAAAAAGUAUGUGUCUGAAAAAGCAAAAGGGAAAACAAAAUUACUUUUCCAUGUUUUUGACAGCACCACUAAAAUGUUGCGUUAAACAAAUGUGUUUCGGAUGAGAGAAUGCAGUUGAUACUUUUUUUCUAUUUAUGCAUAUUGCGUCUUUUUAUAUAGAUUCAUGGGAGUGCCUUUAAGAGGGUUGUAGGCAGAUGGUCAUGAGAUUGAGCUUUCUCCAUCACUCUGCAUCUUUGUAAGACCAUCUGUCCUUUGGGCAGGGGGCAGGUGAAGGUGAUAGACACUUCAGUAGCGUUGCUACUGUUAAUCCCCCCCUCGUUAUUACUGACCCUUUUCUUAUGCUUUUAACUGGAAACCAAAAAUGCAGAAAAUAUGCAGGCUAUCCUUUCCCAUCACUUUCUAUCCAUACCAAGGAACAUAGGAUGCAUCCCUAAACUGAGCCAGAUCCAUUGCUCCACCUAUCUCAGUGUCACUACACUGAACGACAACAGUUCUCCAGGGUUUCAGAACGGGACAUUCCCAGACCUACCUAAAGAGGCUGGUUUCUUCCAGGGACCCUCUGCAUGUAAGGCAACUGCCCUACCACUGAGCUAUGGCCCUUCCCUACCAGCUUCAGCAGCGAUGGUGCAAAUAGUCAAAUAUGUUGCAUCCUGCACCAAAAUGUCAGCAUGACCUGCUCUUCUCAUAGUAGCUUCCUCUGCAGAGUUCACUAGGUGAAGCUUUCCUGGCACAGAAACAUAUCCUACUGACUUGCAAAAUGGAAGAAUGAGGACUGCGUCAGGACCUGUAAAUAGCUGCCCUGUGUGAUAAGCCAAUGAAGCAGAGGGGACAACUCCUCAGUAAAGGAGUUUCAAGCACUGGACUGAUUCCUUUCAUUCAGGAUGACCAUUGGUUCCUUCUGGACAGAAGGGUUUCCUUUUCCAUCUGAACCUUGUUUGAACAAUACAUUUUUCCUGGGGACUGAUGCGUCCUUGGAUGCUUCUAAUUUUGAUUGAUAUUGAAAGUUGUCAACUAACCACAGUUCCCUAAAUACAGAAAACUGGAUUGUUUUAACUAUAAUUAGUUAACAAAUUAGAAUAUCAAACCAUGGUUUGAUCCUGGUUUGUUUGAAUCAACCAGAAUUAGGGGGGAUAGGGGACACAGUUUCCUGCAAUUUGAUGUCAGACGGAACUGUGGUUAGCUUAAAGGCAAAAGCACAAACUUCAUCUUAAUCGUAUAUGAGGGAAUUCAGGAACAGCACAUGAGCCCAAGGCUUGCAUACACCAAAUCUCCUAAUCACAAGCCAUGGUUUUCCAUUAUGCUUGAACCAAGAGAGUGAGUCUGUGUCUAUUAGCUGUGUGAGACGCAAACACCAAUAUAGAUACAUCACUUUUCAAAACUUUCUCCCUGCCAAGGAAAGUGUUCUUAUGUCUUUUUAAAUGUGGAGCUGAAUUAUGUGUUAAGUGGGAGAUGGGGUGAUUUGGGGCACAUAAAUGUCAUGUGGGUAAGAGAUGUUGAACCCUCCUACCUGCUACUGCUCUCCCUAUAGUUCCCUCUUCUGCCCCACCGCUUUUCUUUCAUCCAGUUUCACUCCUGAUACUGGAGUCAGGCUUUCGGUGGAAAUUAGCUGAAGGAAAAGUGGGAGGUGAUGGGGAUUUCAAUACCCCUUCACCCAUAUAUCCGUAAAUUGCAAUUCCACCUACAGCUAUAUAUGGGAUUGGGGGGAAGCAAUGAUUAAAAGCAGGGCUCGCCCAAGACAUUUUGCUGCCCGAGGCAAAGGACAAGAUGGCACCUCCCUCAUUGCAACUGGACUGGCAGCUAAAUCUUACUUCAACACUGGCAUUAACAGUGUCCUCAGCUAUUCUUGGGGGCAGCUGGUUAGCUUGGAGGCCAAAAGGCAGGCCACACAGCACACAUAGCUGUGUCCACCAAUACCUUGUUGCCACUUGUCCCUCAAUAUCUACCACCUGAAGUCUCCACCUCACUAUGCCUAACAGUAGGGGCGGCACUCUUUCAAAGACAGACAUACAGUGGUACCUCGGGUUAAGAACUUAAUUCGUUCCAGAGGUCCGUUCUUAACCUGAAACUGUUCUUAACCUGAGGUACCACUUUAGCUAAUGGGGCCUCCCGCCACCACUGUGCCGCCACCGCACAAUUUCUGUUCUCAUCCUGAAGCAAAGUUAUUAACCUGAGGUACUAUUUCUGGGUUAGCGGAGUCUGUAACCUGAAGCGUCUGUAACCCGAGGUACCACUGUAUGCUACUUUUGCAAGUGGUUUGGCCACAAGAAGAAAAGUGAAAAACCUAUUACUAUUUUAGAAGUUCGGUGCUGCUUACAACCUACAAUGUUGAAUAGCUAUCUUUAAUUACAUUCUAAUAGAAAGACCUCUCAGGUAAGCUUAGGUUAUCUGUGUUAUUAAAAAUCGCUGUUGGCGUUGCACAUCAUUUAUUUGAUUAUUCAGAAAUCUGUUAUCUAUAGAUAGGAAAGUAGCCUUAGGAUAUAUUUACAUCUUUUAAAACAACAACAAUCUCCCUUCCAAAAUAUUUAGAGAGCUACAAACUUUUCUAUGUCCAGACAGGGACACUGACUUAAGCAUCUCUCCCCUCCCCCCUCCCCCUCAUCUAUAGGAAAAUCUAGAAAAGGAGCAUUAUCCAGUCCAAGUUAGGAGUCUUAAGUUCUUAUUGGGAGAGAUUUGGAGUAUGCUCAGCUCUCUCACUAAAAUCAAUGAGACUUAACAGUGCUGAAUGCUGGCUGGCUUAUCCUGGCCAAAUGGCUAAUUUCUAAUAUACAGCAUGAUACUGUGCAUAUCUACUCAGAAGUAAGCCCUAUUAAAUUCACUGGGACUUACUCUUAUGUCAGCGCGCACAGAGUUGCAGACUCUGAUUUCUUUCACCAUUUAGUUCAAUAUAGUGCAAGCAUAAUUACACAGGAGUAAGCCCAAGAGAGGGACGCAGGUGGCGCUGUGAGUUAAACCACAGAGCCUAGGACUUGCCAAUCAAAAGGUUGGCGGUUCGAAUCCCCGCAAUGGGAUGAGCUCCCGUUGCUCGGUCCCUGCUCCUGCCAACCUAGCAGUUCAAAAGCACAUCAAAGUGCAAGUAGAUAAAUAGGUACCACUCCUGCGGGAAGGUAAACGGCGUUUCCGUGCGCUGCUCUGGUUCGCCAGAAGCGGCUUAGUCAUGCUGGCCACAUGACCUGGAAGCUGUACGCUGGCUCCCUUGGCCAAUAAAGCGAGAUGAGCGCCGCAACCCCAGAGUCGGUCACGACUGGACCUAAUGGUCAGGGGUCCCUUUACCUUUAAGCCCAAGAGACUCUAUGCACUUUUGAGCAAAUAUGCAUUGGAUCAGGCUACCCCCCCCACCCCCAAAUAAUAAUAAUUCAAGAGUGGAAGUCAGAGCCAUCCAAACCAAUGGGCUUGUUUAGGAUGGGCAGGAAUAUACGGUGUCUUCCCCAUGUUUCCACACCACAUGAUAGAAUUAUUGAAUCUUAAGAGUUGGAAGGGACCCCCCAAGAGUUGGAGGGUCAUCUAGUCCAACCCCUUGCAAUGCAGGAAUCUCAGCUAAAGCAUCCAUGACAGAUGGCCACCCAACCUCUGCUUAAAAACCUCCAAGGAAGGAGAGUUCACCACCUCUCUUAUAUCUUUGCUAACUACGGCUGCACAAACCCCCAUACAUUUAAAGCACAUUUGUCGAGGGUGCUGGAGUUCCUACAGUUCCCAGUGCUCUUUAGGGGGACGUCAUGUGCUUUAAAUGUAUGGUGCAUACACAGCCUUAAAAAAAAUGCAGCAAUAUUUCCAGCAAUUUUUCCAAAAAUAUAUUAAUUCUGAGUGAAGAAAUAUCCCCCUCUGCUUUACUUGCCUCGUUCAUAAGGAUGUUAAAGUGGGGAGUUGGAGGCAGAGAGAAAGAAUUCAGGCGAUUUGAGGAGGAGCCAAAAUUGUGGGGUAGGGUACAAAAUUCACCACUGCAAAUUCACUGAAGUCCCUCUAGUCAUUUGGUAGCUGCCACUCUUUUCACUCAAAAGUUCCCAGAGUGUGAGGGCAUCAUGUCGCUCUUAGGGGCAUGUUUGGAAAAGGACAGCUGGGCCCCAUUUACACUAUAUGUUUAAACUCUAUUAUACCAAUUUAAACCAACAUGGCUUUCCCCCAAAGAAUUCUGGGGAUGGUAGUUUGUUAAGGAUGCUGAGCAGUGCUGCUUUUCUAGAAAAAGAGGUACAGGAACUCACCAUAAAUGCCUUCCUUGUUCUCUUAUAAUGGCAAUGGCACCCAUCUGUGAGGUGCCAGAACUGAGUUCUGGCGAUUUCUGGCUGGAAAAAAGCACUGAUGCUGAGAGUUAUUAGAAGACCCCAUUCCCCACAUACAGCUACAGUUCUCAUAAUGACUUAGCAAGCAAUCCUCCUUCCCAGGGAACUCUGGGAAUUGUAGCUAUGUGAGGGGAAUAUUGGGUACAUAGGGCUCAGCACUAAAACAUUUUGUUAAGGUUUGAGAUUGACAAUAAUAACAAUAAUUUCAAUAAAAUCUAAGAGCAGGCCCUGCCCCCAGCCCAGCCCACACUGAAAUCUUUUAUCUCAUCUUUCUCCUGCUACGGACCCUUGACAUGGUGCUGCAAAACAAAAUUUCACAUAAUAUUUUCAGGGAGCAAGUUAAGCAGACAAAUAAAACAUGGAUUAUAAAAUGAAUAAGUAAAUUUGGCUAAUUCAGUUGAUCCAACUGUUUUUUGGUUUAGUGAACGCAAGAUACAUGUCACAGUGGCAUGAGUCAUCCUUUUUGGCACCAUAACUAAACUGUUUUGGAUCAAUCACUACUGUUUCUUUAAGCCUGGCCUUACCUCAGAAUAUUCCAGCAGUAAAAACUAAUAUGUUAGUCAUUUCAUUGUAAAGAACAGGAAAUACCAUAAUGGUUUUGAAUAUUUUCAGAAUGCAAAGUGACCAUGGAUUGCACUGGUUAAUUUUAAGAUAGUAUUAGCUUGGGGGGGGAGGGAAGACCCUCGCCCCCGGGUUUUAUAUUUUUACUCACUCUUUCGCUGCAGUCUGGAAUGAGCUCUGAAAAUAUGCUUAGAGAGUAGCUAAUAAAGAACAAUAUCCAGGAAUAAUUUGUUCCACAGGAAGAAUAAAAAGUUAAGCAACUUUAGCUUUCUUUUCUAAAUGUUUCUGCCAAGCAAAUUUUAAAAAUUCAGAGAGGAUAUUAGCAUUGUACCCAAAUGACUGCAUACCCAUUGACUGGUUCAUUUUGAUUGUUUCAUUUCCUUUCUGACCAGAUAAAUCAGGCUUCCUCAACUUCGGCCCUCCAGAUGUUUUUGGCCUACAACUCCCAUGAUCCCUAGCUAGCAGGACCAGUGGUCAGGGAUGCUGGGAAUUGUAGUCUCAAAACAUCUGGAGGUCCGAGGCUGAGGAAGCCUUAGAUAAAUAUUUAGGGCAGCAUUAAAAUUCCUUCUUACAACUAGUGUCUCAUAGUUAGUAAGUUAUCGCAUAUUUCCCUAUUAUCAGCCCAGAAUGGGAAUGAAUUAUUUACUACCACAUUGCCAGCGACUAUAUAUUGUGAAGUUUUGAUGAUUUCAAAACAGUAUAAACAGUAUUUACGAUUGAUGUCUCAUUUUUUCCUGCUAGGAAGCAAGAAAGGCAGCAAGCUUAAUGGUAAAGUGGUACCAGGAUUAUCCCCAAGGAUCUUCAGGUAGGGCUGGGAAUGAAACCCUGGACAAUACUAUGUGGAGAAUAUGGAACUAGCUAGAUGAACCAACUGUCUGCCUUUGUUUAACACAGCUUCGUUUGAUACUAAAGUGGGGCCAUUGUGGUAGUUGAGCACCUGCCCUAUUGGUCCUCGUGCCUCUACUUUUCCUCGGUGUCUCCCAGCUGCUUCCCGCUUCCUUCCAGAACAUUGCAUGGAGACCUCAUUUGAGACAGGCGACUGUUCUCAGGUGUGUGGUUUACAUGCCAAAAAACGCACUCCACUUUCAACCCUUUUCAGGGUCUUUUGAAGAUGGCCAUAGAUGGUUCGGUUGCUGGCUUGUCAAGACAACAGAAUCUUCUAUGGAUCAGAAAGACACCUGGAAUCCUCUUUGACAUGUCCUCUGCAGAAGAAUUCAUCCUGAAUUCUGGGCAAGAAUUGUAGCAAUUGGUUUGCAUGAAGAAGGUCCAAGGUUGAGGCCCUGGCUUUUCCAGGUAGGUCUGGGAAGGUCCCCUGCCUGAAACAGUUGCAAAGCCACAGCCAGUUAGUACUGAGUUAGAGUGACCUAGGGCCUGACUCCGUAUAAGUGUCGUGGAUUUGUUGGAUGCAGCAGAAUGGUGGGAGGAACCAGCUGGGGAAACUCCAAGGGAUGAAGGCUCAGAGCCCAGGGAUUGGUGGUGGGACAACGGUGAGUGGACAGAGGGAGAAGAGGGAGAAGAUUAGGAGGAGGAGGUGUCAGAAGCUGAAGAGGUUACAGGGAUUAGUGAGCGAAGGGAGUAUAUGGCAGAGAGAGUCCAGAAUCAGAGGCAGAAGCUGAUGUCGGCAUGCAGAGGGUUGCAAGGCCAGCUGGCUAGCCCCAGCUGGGUCGUCUCCUUCCAGCCGUCCCACUGCGAAGACCCAUCGCCCUCUGCUCUGAUGUAAAUCAGCGACCCAGGCUUCAAAGCCAGGGCACACUAUGUCAGCAGAGCGAACUGCACACACAGAAUAGGCAUGAGGCUUGUGGAAGCAUACUACAACUACGGAUUUAUUAAUCAUAAAUCAGGACAAAGAAACAUGUCGUCCCUCUUUUUGUCUUCUCAGAGAGACAGGGAAAAGGAAAAGCCAUACACACAACGGAAGUUCCCAGCAUACUGUGCUGGAAUGUAAACAGACAUGUGACACGUAUGAAUUCCAUGUCUGCUCCUUAAGGUGGAAUAGAAAUUCUCAACAGCUGAAGCAGGAAAGGAGGGAGGCCAAGAGACAAAGAUGAGUCUGGCUGGUGAAGAGGUGCUGGAGUCUCUCCCUCCUGCUGUGACAAACUCCCCUCCCCUCUGGUCUCCUAGAACCAGGAGAGGCAUGAAAAGAGCAGGGGAGAAGUUAGCUGCUUCCAGAUUGCUUAGGGAAAACCCUGGAGCGGAGGGGAUUUAGUCAGCUGUGGGGAGGCCGGGACCUUCAAUCUCUGCUUCAUGGAGGCAAAACCAGUUGGAGACGAGUUGCUGCCUCCUUAGACUUGACACUCCUGUUCAGAUCCUGUUUGUGCUAAUAGUUAAGUCCAACUUGCUCUGUAAGAUUUACUGCUGGCUUUCUCCUGUCAAUAAGGCAACUCCCUAUGUUCCCAAGUUGCAUAUUGACUUCCUGCUUGAGCUACACGAAGACUUACGGGUGGCACACACUGUUUCAACAACAUUUUAAUAUGAAUCAGCUCCACAAGAUGUGUCACUUCUAAAACUAUUUUUUCAUUUUUGCAUGUUAUGUUCCUCCCCCCCCGCCGCCCCCCUCCAUUUCAUUAGAGGAGUCUCUAAUUGGAAUCUGAAAAUACGUCAUAACCUAAGUGACCCUCCUUAAAUCAAGCAGAAAGAUGGUUGCGUAAUCUGAGGUGUUGAGGCAUGCUGAUUUUUUCCUUAAUCAAUGCUCUGCAAACUAGACUUUUAAAGUUGAGAACUUAUAUAAAAAUUAAAAAAGAAAAAUCCAGAGUUUUCUAACACCAUCUGAUCUCUUUGAAGCAGCUAGAAUCCCAGAAUAAAUUAUCUCAAAGAAUUCCAGUAUUUAUACUGAGAUCAGUCUGGAGAAAUGGAUCCAAAAAAUUAUGAGAGGGACAAAUCCAGGGCAGAUGAUGGUGCUUUCAAAUCAGGGGGGAAACUAUUCUAAAGGAAACCAGAGUUUUCAUGGCAUCUAAAAGUGAAAGGGAAGCAGUAUUGUGAAACUAGCAAAAAGCAUAAGUUUCUUCUGUAGAAAUAGACCUUUAUACCAGCUCUACAAUUCUAUGAUUCCAGAGCUGCGUUCUCGCCCCAGCUCUCUUUGACAUAUUAUCCUAUCUUCUUCUCUCUGUUGCUUCCAUAUGCCUUCAACUCAACUGACAAAGGGGUGUUCAAGGAGUGACGGGAGUCCAUUCAACCUGCCUUGUCUCCAUGCCAAGACAAAAGUGUGGCGGGUUAUUAUCUGAGAAUGACUGCAGACAGUCAGGUUGUGUAUCUACAGCAGCGACUGGAGGAGGAAUUACCACUGGGAGGAAAACACCAUGGUGCAUCUUCAGCAGCACAACCAGAUGCCUUCAUCUGUUCCAACUGAAAGAAAACAUGUCUCUCCUGUAUCAGUCUCUACAGCCACAGCAGGCGCUGUAAGUCUCCAAUGGUUUGACUUCACCUCCAAAGGCACAAACUCUUCCACUGUGUCCCAAGAUGCCAACCAACCAAUGAUCCCAGAUGGCCAGCAUGCAAAAUCAUAGACUGAAAGUACAUUUAAAGCACAUUUCCCCUCAAAGAAUCCUGGGAGACUUUAGUUUGCAUCUCACAAAGUUAAAUUAUCAGCACCCCCUAAACUACAGUUCCCAGGAUUAUGUGCUUUUAAUUAAUGGCAUGUGUGCAGUCUUGCCCGAUAUCCAAAUAUUGUUUGGUUCAAAAUGAAGGCAGACCCAAGUUGCCUCAGAAUCAAGAAGCAGGAUGAUUACCCCAUUGAAAGAAAGUUCCAGCUUGAAUCUCUCUCCUUAACCACCAAGAAACUCCUACUUGAAUCUCCCAUGUCUAUUCUCUGGUUUUGAAAACAUUUGGUUACAGUUGUCAGGAAGAGCCAUGUAGCCUAAGAGAGAAAGGACAGACAAACCAGCUAAUCACAGACAACUAGGCAAAUGAGGUUUUCCAAUCCCAUGCAAAUGUAGGGAGAAUGACUUCAUAUUUUCUCCAUGGCCGUGAACCCACAUUCUACCCACGACCCUUGUGUAAGAUAGGCUUCCUACACAGGAAACUGAACUUACUCAUAUAACAUCUGGAGAUUUGCUAAGAGUGGUAGGGGGAAGGGUUGAGGCUUAAGAAAAGAUGGGGCUGGUCUAAUUAAGCUGGCCAAAUUUAAGAAAUCCAGCCAAUUUCCAUUAAAGGCGUCUUAAAUUAUGUCAUCACCAAUUUAGAGCUUCUAAAAUUAAGAUAAGUUAAUGCAUGUGACAAUAGGUCACCAGUGAUUCAAUAACUCUUCUGCUGCCUGCCUGGGACUGCAAAAAGAGGCACACCAGUCAAAUUGUUGUGCAAGCCUAUCCAAUGGAAAUUGUACCAUGCAAUGACCCAGGAAGGGAAUAAUGCUUGAAUGAGACCUAACUGCAGCAGACUGCACACACUUGCCACUUUGCGAUUGCUAAGUCUUGUGACAAUCUGGCAAUUAAAAGCUACUCUUAAUGGAAAAGAACGCCAUCGGAUAAUGGCUUCCUGCCGUUAAAUAGAUAUCGUGGCAAAGUUGUGGUAUUUAUAGAAAGUCAACACGAAGACAAAGCCAGGAGAUUUAUUUUCAGAGUCAGUAUCCUGGAUCCUGAGAUUCUCUUGCAAUUGCUUUGCAUAUUUCUAUUUUACUACAUGACUGAUGAAAAUGGAAUUAUUUUUGCCUUGAUGUAUGUUGGUGCAGCAAAGUGACAGUUGCUCAUCUUACCGUUACUGAAUAGCUGCACUCUGCUUGGCUGAAGGAAAGAGAUUUAUGUUGUGGUUCAUCCAAUCAGAAAGCAGCUAAUCCAUUUAAGCAUGGCCUGUAUAUUUUAUUCACCAUAAUAGUAUUUCUGUUAAGAAAGGAAGGCCUGAUGUUUCUGGUUUCUAGGUAGCCUCCGAUUAGAAGUUUAUAAACUCGUAAGUAAAAGAGGAGAAACUCUAUAUCCACCAUACUUGCCACAUUCCAGUUGGACAUCUCCAGAAACAACUUAACGUUGUGUUUUCGGCUGAUAAAACCCUGAGGAUGGAAUCCUAGGUUUGCUUAUUUGGAGCGGGGGGUUCGUUGAAAAAGACUGGGUUGCAUCCAGAGUGAAGGGACAAUUGUGCAAAGGGAAUUUCCUCAUCCCUUCCUCUCCAGUGCAGAGUGCUGUACCCCCCAAAAACUUCCUGGGAGUCAGGGGGCUUCUCCUGGGCAGUGGGAGUGCUGGUGGCAGUGGGGAGAGGAGAAGCAGGGCAAACUGGGAAGAGGCAGGUUAAGAAGCCAAGAAAAGCAUUGCCCGAUGAUUUCUGCAGAUGAAGCCAGCACUAGAGACUCAAGAGGAAAGCCGGCUGGUGAGGAAUCAAAGGACCAGGCUUCCAAAGGGUUAGGCCCAAAGUACAUACCUAAGACACACUGAAGAGUACACUUUUAAUGGCAUGUGCAAAAUUGGAUUUUCAGUGGCUAGUCCACAAUUACGAAACUUAGCAAUGCAUCAAAAUGGACUGAUGCUGUCAUGUGGAGGUAGCUUAGGAUAGUGUCAGGCUGCUGCAAAGUAUAGCACCCGAUCAUCAUGUGCUCUGUCAUCUGGCUUAGAAAGUUUCCACAAAAGGCCACCUGCUACCAGGAACAGAUUUAUCUCUUUUAGCUGGGGGAUGAGUAUAUAUUAAUCUCCCAUUUAUGUUCCUAGGCCAAGUCCCACCAUAAUGGAGGCAGGUUGCAGGGCUCAAACCUGGUUCGCGUGACGCCCUGGUUCAGAGCCAAGCAGCCUAGAAAUUAGUGGAUCGUUAUAUGAUAAAAAUGCACGCUGGAUCUGCUAUGAAACCGUUGCAGAUAAAUAGUCCCUGGUCGAAGGAUUCUGUGCUUUCUCUUAUCACUCCUCCCAAUAGUGAACACAUCUUGUGAGUACCAAUAGGGAAGCAGCCUAAACAGGUGGCUGAGACACAAGAGGCAAGUAACAGCAUGAUCAAGGGAGCCCCAAGUUCUGCGGAAGUAGAGGGGAUUUUGGGGAGGGGGAAAUCUUAGGGAAUCUUACACUCAGUAAGAACUGAGUGUGCUCCGCGGGUACAGAAUAUUUGUUGUGAGGAAAUCUAAGGGGAAGAGGGGAUGGAAUGGAGUAUUCUAGGAAAGGGCAUUAAAGGGCACAAUCAUCAUCAACUAAAUUUCUAUACCGUUCUUCCUCCAAGCGUCGCAGGGCAGCUUAAAAUAUAAAGGCACAAAAAUGCAUAGCAUAGUAACAAACAAAAACAACUCUCUCUCCCCUCCCUCAAGUUUAAAAGGUCCUAGAUCAUGACCUUAGUUUAUUCCACGUUUGUCAGAUGGACCUUAAUUAAUGAGAGUAAAAGUAGCUUGCUGUACCGUUGUUAAGAAGUUGCAUGUGAUUGCUUUAAAAAGGCUUGUGCCAUGUGCCUCAGCUAAUCAUAAAGCAGCUUACUUUAGAAAUGUGUUCUUUUAAAAUAAAAAAUAAGAAAGAGUUCUGAGCUUUUGAAAGCAAACUAGCUUUGGAUUGGUUCGAGUUCUGCUUUAACUUUAAUCAGUAAUUAAGGGUCAGCCAUCCAGUAAACUCAUUAGUUUACACCAAUUACAUUGGGUAUAGUAACUAAUGAUUCUGAGGAUCAUGCCACUUAUUUCCAAGCUUUCAAAGUAUAAUUAUGGUGUAAAUCAGAUAGAGCGUAAAUCUUUUCCAUACGUUUUGGUUGGUAAUUGAGGGAUAAAAUGGUUUCCAAAUGUAUUCUCUCUCCCCCACACACCCAACUUUUCGUUUUUUGUUCUGCAAUAGAUUUCUCCUGGGACUCUUUAAAGGAUACGGAAAAGGUGAUGUCAACAGCACUGUAUAUGCUGGGCAAAUGGAGACAGGACUAAUUAAUAGAGAUACAAAAGAAAAUAUUUCCCCUUUCAAAUUUUUGGUUCAGACAUUAAACGCAGGCACUGCACCACAGUCCUGAGAUGAAGGAAAGCAGGUCAGCAAACACCUAAGUUUCAUCCUCCCUCCCACCAAAAAAUAGAUAGGUAGGUGAAUUUUAAAAUCUGUUAUAUGUAAUGCAUAACUGCUAAUGCCACUGCUCCUGCUUUUAAAAUGAUUUAGUCUCUGGAGCAUUUCCCUUUGAAGUUUAAUAUGUAGUUUCAUGUCUGCACAACAUUUUCAAUGCAUUAAACAAAUUAGUCUCUGGUUACAAAAGUUUUUCGACGUUUUCCAGUUGCCACUUAACUAAAUCCAUUAUGUGUCAACGAAGCUGAUCAUUUAAAAGAGCGAACUUUUUGGAAUGAUUAAUAAAUAAAACAGCUUCUCUCAACCUAAGUGUUUACUUGAAAGCAACCCACUUUAGAAAGACAUUAAUAUCCCUCGAAUUAUUAUUAGAAUAAUUGCUUUUACUCGUCUUAGAACAACACACUUUCCCCUCCUCAUUUCCCUUCAGCUCAGACAGCUUUUCACUCAGAUGGAAACUUCCUAUUAUUUGUCCCCAGCCCACCCCCGCCCAGCAAAAUGAAGAAUAGGAAUUAUACACUUUUCACUAAGGAAUAAUUAAUAUGUCUCAAGUAUUAGAAGAGAG